UACGGAGGGAGCUAGCGUUGUUCGGAAAUACUGGGCGUAAAGCGCACGUAGGCGGCGCAGCAAGUCAGGGGUGAAAUCCCGGGGCUCAACCCCGGAACUGCCCUUGAAACUGCAGUGCUAGAAUUCUGGAGAGGCGAGUGGAAUUCCGAGUGUAGAGGUGAAAUUCGUAGAUAUUCGGAAGAACACCAGUGGCGAAGGCGGCGCCCUGGUCCGUUACUGACGCUGAGGCGCGACAGCGUGGGGAGCAAACAGG
rnacentral:rRNA from 1 species